GACAGAGGUGCCGAGCGUUAGGCGGAAUCACUGGGCUUAAAGCGUGUGUAGGCGGAUCUGUAAGUACCUUGUGAAAUCCCACGGCUCAACCGUGGAACUGCUUGGUAUACUGCGGGUCUUGAGCCACCUAGGGGCAAGUGGAACAAACGGUGGAGCGGUGAAAUGUGUUGAUAUCGGAAGGAACGCCGGUGGCGAAAGCGACACACUGGAUCUUGUCUGACGCUGAGGCACGAAAGCCAGGGGAGCGAACGGG
rnacentral:rRNA from 1 species